UUUACAUUCACUGUUAUUGGGAAUAGCAAACAUCACAAUCAAGAAGAGGGUGUAUGACCAAGUGAUGCUCACCAUGAGACUGCAAGAGGAGAAAAGCAUUUUGGUGUUGGAGAUGGUUCAACAUUGCACAUGGUUGCAGAAGAAGGCAGAUGAACUUCGAAACAAGGUGGCUGAGAAUGGCAAGACCGACGAAGGACUUUGCUGUCUCUUUAAAGGACAACUUUCAGAGGUGUCAGAGCAGUUGCAAGUAGUCAUGCACCAGUACAAGACUGCUUUAGGCCCUGAGGCCUCUGCCCUUCAAAUGGAGGAGGAGGAGGAGGAUCAAAGGGCCCUCAGCAGUCCAGACAGCAGUGAAGAUGAAGACAUCGCCGAUUAGAUAACGGACUGCGGUGAAGGGCAUGGACUUGGCAUGUUUUGUUUGAUGUAGGACAGUAGUAGCUCAGGGGGUAGAGUUUUUUUUCAGCAUACAGAAAGUUGGCAAUUCAAUCCCGCCCUAUCCUAGUUCUGUCCACCAUGUCCCACAACACUGAACCCACAUUGUUCCCAGUGAGUCCUCCAUAGUGAUGAUGAUGAAUGAUCAAGUUUGCUCAAGGAUGCCUUUGAGUUCCACUUGGGAGUGAAGAAUGGUGUCCAAGCUCCUGCUGUGCUCCAGGUCCCCUAGCCAGGGGAUUAACUUACCUCUAUAGUCUGUACAGUGUUCAGAAAUAAACUCAUCAAUGGAGGGC